GGAUGUGAGGGCGAUCUGGCUGCGACAUCUGUCACCCCAUUGAUCGCCAGGGUUGAUUCAGCUGAUCUGGCUGGCUAGGUGGGUGUCCCCUUCCUCCCUCACUGCUCCAUGUGCGUCCCUCCUGAAGCUGUGCACUUGGUGGAUGAGGCCGUCCUCCCAAAUAGAAGGAGUACCAUUCUUCGGUCAAGGGUAUACGAUAGCUGCGCUCCCCUGCUAGAACCUCCAAACACUCUACGUGGGGCUGCCCUUGGUGACGGUUUUGAGGCUGCACAUGGUGUAGAAUGUGGUGACUCACCUCCUUACGGGGGCACAUCACAGUAAGUACCUAACACUGGUGUUCUGUUUGCUG
rnacentral:snRNA from 1 species